rnacentral:rRNA from 1 species
CGCCCUUAGAGUUUGAUCAUGGCUCAGGAUGAACGCUGGCGGCACGCCUAACACAUGCAAGUCGAACGAACCUUUUUGAACUUUAAUCUCGAAACUUUCAUAGUCUCAAGAUAUGAAGCUCAAAAUCGUUAGUGGCGGACGGGUGAGUAACACGUUGGAACCUGCCCCGAAGAGGGGGAUAACUACCCGAAAGGGUGGCUAAUACCCCAUAUACUCCGAUUUAUUCGGAGGAAAGCUUUUGCGCUUCGGGAGGGGCCUGCGUAACAUUAGCUUGUUGGUGAGGUAAAAGCUCACCAAGGCUACGAUGUUUAGCUGGUUUGAGAGGAUGAUCAGCCACACUGGGACUGAGAUACGGCCCAGACUCCUACGGGAGGCAGCAGUGAGGAAUAUUCCACAAUGGGGGAAACCCUGAUGGAGCGAUGCCGCGUGCAGGAAGACGCUUUUCGGAGUGUAAACUGCUUUUAAUAGGGAAGAUUAUGACGGUACCUAUAGAAUAAGGACCGGCUAACUACGUGCCAGCAGCCGCGGUAAUACGUAGGGUCCAAGCGUUAUUCGGAAUUACUGGGCGUAAAGCGUACGUAGGCGGCUUGAUAAGUUGGAUGUGAAAUCCUGUGGCUCAACCAUAUGGACCGUGUCCAAAACUAUCAGGCUAGAGCAUAGUAGAGGCAAGUGGAAUUUGCGGUGUAGGAGUGACAUCCGUAGAUAUCGCAAGGAACACCAAUGGCGAAGGNAGCUUGCUGGGCUAUUGCUGACGCUCAGGNACGAAAGCGUGGGGAGCGAACGGGAUUAGAUACCCCGGUAGUCCACGCCGUAAACGAUGAUCACUAGCA